rnacentral:rRNA from 1 species
GAUGAACGCUGGCGGCGUGCCUAAUACAUGCAAGUCGAGCGAACCGACGAGGAGCUUGCUCCUCUGACGUUAGCGGCGGACGGGUGAGUAACACGUGGAUAACCUACCUAUAAGACUGGGAUAACUUCGGGAAACCGGAGCUAAUACCGGAUAAUAUAUUGAACCGCAUGGUUCAAUAGUGAAAGACGGUUUUGCUGUCACUUAUAGAUGGAUCCGCGCCGCAUUAGCUAGUUGGUAAGGUAACGGCUUACCAAGGCGACGAUGCGUAGCCGACCUGAGAGGGUGAUCGGCCACACUGGAACUGAGACACGGUCCAGACUCCUACGGGAGGCAGCAGUAGGGAAUCUUCCGCAAUGGGCGAAAGCCUGACGGAGCAACGCCGCGUGAGUGAUGAAGGUCUUCGGAUCGUAAAACUCUGUUAUUAGGGAAGAACAAAUGUGUAAGUAACUAUGCACGUCUUGACGGUACCUAAUCAGAAAGCCACGGCUAACUACGUG